CAGGAAGAAGCUUGCUUCUUUGCUGACGAGUGGCGGACGGGUGAGUAAUGUCUGGGAAACUGCCUGAUGGAGGGGGAUAACUACUGGAAACGGUAGCUAAUACCGCAUAACGUCGCAAGACCAAAGAGGGGGACCUUCGGGCCUCUUGCCAUCGGAUGUGCCCAGAUGGGAUUAGCUAGUAGGUGGGGUAACGGCUCACCUAGGCGACGAUCCCUAGCUGGUCUGAGAGGAUGACCAGCCACACUGGAACUGAGACACGGUCCAGACUCCUACGGGAGGCAGCAGUGGGGAAUAUUGCACAAUGGGCGCAAGCCUGAUGCAGCCAUGCCGCGUGUAUGAAGAAGGCCUUCGGGUUGUAAAGUACUUUCAGCGGGGAGGAAGGGAGUAAAGUUAAUACCUUUGCUCAUUGACGUUACCCGCAGAAGAAGCACCGGCUAACUCCGUGCCAGCAGCCGCGGUAAUACGGAGGGUGCAAGCGUUAAUCGGAAUUACUGGGCGUAAAGCGCACGCAGGCGGUUUGUUAAGUCAGAUGUGAGAUCCCCGGGCUCAACCUGGGAGCUGCAUCUGAUACUGGCAAGCUUGAGUCUCGUAGAGGGGGGUAGAAUUCCAGGUGUAGCGGUGAAAUGCGUAGAGAUCUGGAGGAAUACCGGU
rnacentral:rRNA from 1 species